rnacentral:lncRNA from 1 species
GCCUUCCUUUUAAUUUUUUAAUCAAUAAAAAUCUAUCUUCUCUCCUUCCCCCCUCCUUCCCACUGAGAAGGAAAAAACAACAAUAACAACUUCUCCCCCACUUACAGGCACAUAUAUUCAAGGAAAACCAACCUUUGAUUGGCUGCUUACAAAAAGAAAUGUGUCUUAAUUUACAUUUCAAAUUGGGAGUCCUGGAAUCAGGGCGGGUCAUCAUGUUGAUCAGUUAUAAUGUAUUUCAAAGUUAUUUGCUUUUACAAUAAUAUUGUUAUUGUAUAAUUUUUUUCCUGGCUUGCUUCAUUUCAUCUUGCAUCAGUUCAUAUAAAUCUUCCCAGGUUUUUCUGAAACCAUACUCUUCUUCAUUUCUUAUGCACUAUAAUAUUCCUUGACAUUCAUAUACCAAAACUAAUUUAGACAUUUUCCCACUGAUGGGAACCUCCUCAAUUUCUAAUUCCUUGCCAUCACAAAAAGCGCUGCUACAAACAUUUUUAUUCAUUGAUGUUCAGUCAUUUCAAUCAUGUCUGACUCUGUGACUGCAUUUGGGAUUUUCUUGGCAAAGACCCUGGAAUGGCUUGUCAUUUCCUUCUCUGGUCAUUUUACAGAUGAAAAAAACGAGGCAAACAGAGUUAAGCCCAGGGUCACAUAGCUAGUAAUGUCUGAGGCCAGAUUUGAACUCAGAAAUAUGAGUCUUCCUGACUCCAGAUUUGGCACUCUAUCUACUCAGCCACCUAGUUGCCCUUUUUUAAGGGAUCUUUUUCCUUCUUUUUUUUUCUCUUUUUGAAGUACAGAUCUAAUAUUAGUAUCAUAAGUUAAAAGGUUUAUACAGUUUUAUAACUUUGGUGGCAUAGUUCCAAAUCACUUUCCAGAAUGGUGGGAUCAAUUCACAGUUAUACCAAUAGUGUCUUUAUAUAUCUGCUUUUCCACAGACCUUUCAGCAUUUUCUUUUUUCUUUCUUAUUUCUUUUUUUUUUGUUUUUUUUUUUUUUUUUUUUUUAAUUAAAAAAAAAUUUUUUUAAGACAAGGUAAAUGUUUUUGUUUUUGUAUUUUUAAUGAGAGAAGGUUCACAGACCUCUCAGAAUUAGAUCUUCCUAGUUCUAAAGCACUACAGUUGUUUUACUAAGUGGUUUAUAGGGAUGGGUAACCAUCCAGCUCUAAGUUUUUUGACAACUAAGACCAAAAGAAAAAUACAUCAGAUUACAUAGUUUUCAUUUUCUCACAACAACAACAAAAAGACACAAAUUAUCUGCAAAUACAAAUUCUUUCUUAGCUGCCAUUAUUCAUGUUG